rnacentral:rRNA from 1 species
UACGGAGGGUGCGAGCGUUGUCCGGAAUCACUGGGCGUAAAGGGCGCGUAGGUGGCUCGUGAAGCGUGCGGUGAAAGUCCGAGGCUCAACCUCGGAUCGGCCGUGCGGACUCGCGGGCUCGAGCGUUGUAGAGGCGGGUGGAAUUCCGGGUGUAGCGGUGGAAUGCGUAGAGAUCCGGAAGAACACCGGUGGCGAAGGCGCCUUGCUGGCCAAUUUCUGACGCUGAGGCGCGAAAGCGUGGGGAGCAAACAGG